GAGCGAGCGGCGGGUGUCCCUGAGAGGCCACCUUUCGACCUUCGAGGGCCAGGAGGAUACGGGGAGGUGGCCGGAGGGAGUUCCCGAACACAGGUCUUCCUGUUCCCGCCGAGCAGGUGUUGGCGGUGCCAGGCCCGGCCUGGCGGGCCCGGGCUGGCAGCCAAAUACCCAGCGUCUGUGCUCGGGACGGGAGUGUUCGUCCAGGACGUGCAGCUCCGGAGCCUGCGCGGGCGACCUUGACCACCUUUGUCGGCUGUUUCCCCCUGAGGGAAGUAUACCUGUCCUGCCAGCCUUGGUCUCUGGCAGGGAAGGUCCUUCCAACAGAGAGGGAAUUGCUUAGAAUUGACUCAACACUGCCUCCUUGCUGAAUGGAUAAUUCAAGCAAACAACUCAAGAGCUGGAUGCUGCCCAGACAGAAGUCCUCCUAGCAUCUUUCUUCUGCCUUCCCCUGCUCCUGUCCCUGAAACCUUUUCUUCAAAAGAAGUGGAAAAGAGGAACUGGGAACCCAUAUAGCAACAGCAUCACCUGGAAUGAAUUCCUUUAGAACAUACUGUCUUGGAAAUCUGAAGCCUGCAGGGCUGGACAGGCAAGAAGAGCAGUGAGCACUGCAUGAACCUCACCCUUGAACUUCUAUAUGGUCUCCAAAGACAUGAUAAAUACAGAGAUUGCUCUCUCCUCUCAACUGCAACAGUAAUGAUUCCUUUGCAUUUUAAUUAAGUCUUUUACACAUGAAUAAGUCUUUAUCCUCAAAUGGACUAAAGACUCCUCGAGGACAAGAACUAUCCUUCAGUCCCAUACAUUGGUUACCUGGCAAAGGACCCUAAAUGCAGAUUAUGAAGUAGCUAUGGAAUUUGAAUGGGUUGAUUCUUCAGCUCCCAGAAAAAAACUUUGAUUGGUUUAACUGGCCACAGUAAUUGAUGUGGGAAUGAGGCCCUGACAUAAUUUCAACUUAGAAGACAUGUUCACUGGAAGUGAACUAGGAAGCAUGAAGUCUCAGACAUUCGACACUGAAAGAAUAAGCAGUCUUAGGAUGAAGGCAGUGCUAUGGACACCAGAACUCCAUGGUUCAGGCUGUUCAGCAUCAACUGUUCCUGACAGCCACCCUAACGUGCCUCCAGUUUCCUGGGCCAACAGAUGCCUGUCAUUGUUGAAGUUUCUUUGAGUUGGGUCUUCCGUUACUUACAAUUUAAAUCACCCUCACUGAUUACUAUGUACUUAAUUGUUCUCCUCCACUCUCUGCCAAUCCAUAUGCUGAAGCCUUAACCCCCAACGUGAUAGUAUUUGGAGACUGGAACUUUGGGAGAUAAUUAGAUUUAGAUGUGGUCAUGAGGAUGGGACCUUCAAGAUGAGAAUAGUAUCCUUAUAAAAAGUGGUACUAGAAAGCCUCUCUUUCUCUCUCUCUGCCACGUAAGAACACAGCAAGAAGGCAGCCAUCUGCAAGCCAGGAAGAGAGCCCUUACCAGAACUUGACCAUGCUGACACCCUGAUCUCAGAUGUGCAGCCUCCAGAACUGCAAAAAAGACACAUUUUCAUUGUUUAAGCUACCUAGUUUAUGGUAUUUUGUUACAGCAGCCCAAUCUGACUAAUACGCUGAUACAGGCAUAUUAGGGUACAUGCCACCAGCAGAGUGGUUCAACUGCAGGUCCACACUUACCCAGUGAAGGUGACUCAGCCUAGAGUGUGACUCAGUCUCUUCCCAACCCUGUCCGCAUCACCCCUGGAAGAGUCAGCUCCUCCCACAACUGCAGUCCUGACAGCAGCAUCAUGCCUCUGAAAUGAUCUUGCAAACAAGCUGUCAUUGGAGUGCUGAGAGAGUGGCAAUAUCAACUAAAAACAUGAAGAAGAAGAGCAACAAAGAGGAGGAAGAGGAGGAGAAGAGGGAAAGAAGUGAGGCGCUGUGGUGAAGAAUAGUACUUCUCAUCUCCACCAGAACAGCAGAGAACAAUGAAAGCACACCAUCAGGACGUCUCAGGGUACAGCCAGAAAAGCCAUUACCAUUUGUGCCAAUAUCUUUGAAAUCUUGUAUUUUGUCAUAAAAAGUUAUGCAGUUUCUGU
rnacentral:lncRNA from 1 species